GGCGCGAUGACAGAGUGGUCAUGUAGCGGACUGCAACUCCGUCAACGCCGGUUCGAUUCCGACUCGCGCCUCCA
rnacentral:tRNA from 1 species